UUAUUUUCAAAGGUCUGGCUGCCAGUAUAAUGGGAGGAAAGAAAAAGCUGCCCUGCUUUUAACUGAAAAGCUGCUUUCACAUCAUGCUGGCUGUACCCAAGGCUGUAGCCAUCCCUUUGAAACAGCUACAUCCUUUGACUCACACAGCAGCAGAGAAAUUCAUCACAUACCCACGAGGACAAGCCAGCCUCUCUCAGAAAACAGCUCUCCCAUGAAGAUUUAGGGAAAGGGCUGGGGAAGGAGAUGCUGUGUCAGGCUGGCAGCACGCAGAGAGACAGCCAAGGCUCUGCUAACAAGCCAUGAACGUACCCACUGAUUAAAAAAACUGCCUCAUAGGUGUCUUCUGGGAGACCAGAACAGCCGACUGUAAGCUGAUGAGGAGACUCCUGGAACUUCCCUUGCCUGGCCAUCCAGGGGGAGCAGGGCCAGAGCUGCUGCAGAGCGCCAGCUCCGGGCCUGCCUGCGCUUGGCAGCGAGUUGCCAUGGCUACGAAGUGAGCUGCUUUGAGGGGGAAAAGAUGAAAUCUGGUCUGGCUGCCAGUCCACAGCCACCGUGGGAGCCGUGGCAGUGCCUUGUGCAGGGCCGGAGGAGCUCUGAGGCCUCCAAAAGCCGCCACCCAUUCCAGGGCUUCCAGCUCCCAGGUGCUGCACGCCAACUUUGGAAUAGGAAAGUGAGCUGUUAGAAGAAUCGAGGAAGAACUGAGCAGUUUUUCCAACUCCACCGUGGUUGGAGGGUUCUUGUCCCCACUCCCUGGCCAGCUGCUGGCACGGGGAGAGCUGUGUCCGUCCCCACCAUCUCCAUCUCCUGGGCACCACUGAGCUGACACACAACAAGGGUGUCCUUGGGCCACGUCCAGAGCUUUGUCUCACUGCCCAGCGUGGCUUGGCAGGCUCAGCAUUCCCUCUCUCCAAAGUGCACCCCUGCCUGGAGAAGGCUUUUUUUAGCUCACUGCAGCCAGGAACUGAAAGCAUUGUGUUAGGGGUGAAGUGUGGGCACAGAGCUGCGUGUAGAAACCUCUCGGCCCUGGAUUAGUUUUCAGCUUCUUGUUCUGCCUCCAAAAGGAAGGAAAGAGAAAAAGCAAAGUGCAAAACAAAGAAAGGGAAAAAUAAGAAAGAAGAGGAAGGGAAAAGGAGGAGGAGGAGGAGGAGGAGGAGAAGGAGAAGGAGAAGGAGAAGGAGAAGGAGAAGGAGAAGGAGAAGGAGAAGGAGAAGGAGAAGGAGAAGGAGAAGGAGAAGGAGAAGGAGAAGGAGAAGGAGAAGGAGAAGGAGGAGAAGGAGAAGGAGAAGGAGAAGGAGAAGGAGAAGGAGAAGGAGAAGGAGAAGGAGAAGGAGAAGGAGAAGGAGAAGGAGAAGGAGAAGGAGAAGGAGAAGGAGAAGGAGAAGGAGAAGGAGAAGGAGAAGGAGAAGGAGAAGGAGAAGGAGAAGGAGAAGGAGAAGGAGAAGGAGAAGGAGAAGGAGAAGGAGAAGGAAGAAAAAGGAAGAGAAAAAGGGAGGGAAGAAGGAAAAGGAAACUGAAUAUUUUUUUUUUUUAAUCAAGGAGAUUUUUUAACAUAUUUUAAGUGUUUCAAGAGAAAAUAAGGACUGUAUCAACAGACUAUGCUCCAUUACUAUAAUCUCUCUUCUGCCAGCUUGGUUCUAGUUUCAAAUUAGUAGUAAAUGUAUUUUUAACAAAUUAAUUAAAAUUUAACUGGCUCUGUGUUACUGGAAUUUCAGCUGUGUGCCCACACAUAUACUGGCAGAAUAUCCUGUGCAUCUAAUUUUAUUUGCAAUCAGUUCUGAGGUUAGAACACUGAUGCCUUUGUUUGUAGCAGUGAACCAUCACUGCUACAGUGCUGCCCUUUACCUGUUAAAUUGAAGUCUGAAAAAACAGGAUGCAUCUGACAGAGUCCACAGCAGAUUGUUCUCUCUCAGCUGUUAGAGAGCCCUGGUCCACACGGUGAGGAGAUGGAGAGGAGGGGGGCCAGUGCAGCCCCACCGACAGCACAAGCACAGCAGCGCCCAACUUGUCCCAAACACGUCGUUUCUCGGCUCAGAAAUUCAGAUCCGGGCUAGAAUGACUCCUAGGAACCUUCCCGCACAGGAUUUCUGGCAAGACAAGAAAAACAAAGAGUACAGGCACAGUCUUGUCAGCAGAGCCCGGCUCAUCUGCAGAGUCAGGGAAAGGGAAGUUUCAGCUUUAACAACGCAGCUCCGCCAAGGUCCGGGCACUGCUGCGGGUGAGUCACGCCCUGAGCAUCCCAUAAAGAGCUGCUCUGUAAACACGGCAGGCAGCGAGGAGCAGCGGGGAAAGGCAGGACUGCGGUCAGGGGGAGGAAAAUCACCAAGCACCCCCUCCGCCCAGCCCUGGGAACAGAGAUAAACCACUGCCCAAGCCAAGCGCUGCUCCCCGCCUCGCUCCGCCAAGCCUUCCCGCCGCGCUCUGGAAUUCCCCCUUGUGGGCUUGUGAAAAAUGUGUAUCUGUGAAAAAUGAGUAUUUUAUGAUUGGCUUUUCGCAAGUAUUAAAAUUAAUGUUGUAUUGUGCUAGAAAGUUAUGCUAUAUUAAUUUUCUUAAGUAGUGUAUUAAAUAUAGUUUUAGGUUAUAACAUAAUGCUAAAAUAGAAACUAUGCUGUGUAAGAUAUUUGUUUAAGAAAGGACUCGCACCAGAUAGAAGCCACAGGACACCUAAAUGUUUCAGAGAAAGGGAAUUUAUUGCUCCCUUAUCAGCAGAAAACUAACUUCUUCCCACCUCGCUCAGACAGGAAGACAGCAUGAGGAUUCAGAGGAAGAAGUUGACAGAAUCUUGUGUUUGAAUAGAAUUUAUGCAUCAUGUAUGAGAUGUAUGAAUACGCAAAAGGCAAUUAUUUUUAAGGGUUAAUCCUCUGUUAAUGGGGGUCCUUUUUCGGGCAUGUGUUGCCCAGGAAAAGGUACCUGGACGUAUCUCUUUGUUUUUAUUGUCUCAUAUUCUCCUAAUCUCAGUUGUUCAAAUUUUAUUACUCUAAUUACAUUACUAUUUUUAUAGCCAUUUUAUUACUAUUAAACUUUUAAAAUUUUAAAAACAA